UUAAGUGACGAUAGCCUAGGAGAUACACCUGUACCCAUGCCGAACACAGAAGUUAAGCCCUAGAACGCCGGAAGUAGUUGGGGGUUGCCCCCUGUGAGA
rnacentral:rRNA from 1 species